AUCCAUGGCUAUGCCACCCUGAACAAGCCCGAUCCCGUCUGAUCUCGGAAGCUAAGCAGGGUCGGGCCUGGUUAGUACUUGGAUGGGAGACCACCUAGGAAGACCAGGUGCUGUAGGUG
rnacentral:rRNA from 1 species